UCUUUUUUUUUUUUUUCAGAAACCAGUGAUGCUUAUUGGACAGCAAGAAGAGGAACUCAGGUUAAGGAUGUUAAGGAGCUUAGAAAUCCAACAACAUAUAGAACUUCUCUAUACGGAGAACAAACAUUUAUCACGUUAAGUUGUCAUUCUCAGGAAAACUAUAAAGGGUUUGGAACUUGGAUAGAUUCACAAUAGUAACGCUUCAAACUCGUGAUGAAUGCAUCAACAAACUUCUAGAGAUAAUUCAAAACAAAGGAGUUGAAAGAAGAAGUCGAAAACGUGAUAUCAAGAGUUGCUCGGUCUGACUGAGAAAAGUUCCUGUUUAAACGAAUGUUUCUGUGAAUGUGUCUUACUACAA